rnacentral:rRNA from 1 species
CCAGACCGCCAGCUAAGGUCCCAAAGUCAUGGUUAAGUGGGAAACGAUGUGGGAAGGCCCAGACAGCCAGGAUGUUGGCUUAGAAGCAGCCAUCAUUUAAAGAAAGCGUAAUAGCUCACUGGUCGAGUCGGCCUGCGCGGAAGAUGUAACGGGGCUAAACCAUGCACCGAAGCUGCGGCAGCGACACUUUAGUGUUGUUGGGUAGGGGAGCGUUCUGUAAGCCGUUGAAGGUGUCCUGUGAGGGGUGCUGGAGGUAUCAGAAGUGCGAAUGCUGACAUAAGUAACGAUAAAGCGGGUGAAAAGCCCGCUCGCCGGAAGACCAAGGGUUCCUGUCCAACGUUAAUCGGGGCAGGGUGAGUCGACCCCUAAGGCGAGGCCGAAAGGCGUAGUCGAUGGGAAACGGGUUAAUAUUCCCGUACUUGGUGUUACUGCGAAGGGGGGACGGAGAAGGCUAUGUUGGCCGGGCGACGGUUGUCCCGGUUUAAGCGUGUAGGUGUGUGUUCCAGGCAAAUCCGGUUCACUUUAACACUGAGGCGUGAUGACGAGGCACCACGGUGCUGAAGCAACAAAUGCCCUGCUUCCAGGAAAAGCCUCUAAGCAUCAGGUAACAUCAAAUCGUACCCCAAACCGACACAGGUGGUCAGGUAGAGAAUACCAAGGCGCUUGAGAGAACUCGGGUGAAGGAACUAGGCAAAAUGGUGCCGUAACUUCGGGAGAAGGCACGCUGACACGUAGGUGAAGUGAUUUACUCACGGAGCUGAAGUCAGUCGAAGAUACCAGCUGGCUGCAACUGUUUAUUAAAAACACAGCACUGUGCAAACACGAAAGUGGACGUAUACGGUGUGACGCCUGCCCGGUGCCGGAAGGUUAAUUGAUGGGGUCAGCGCAAGCGAAGCUCCUGAUCGAAGCCCCGGUAAACGGCGGCCGUAACUAUAACGGUCCUAAGGUAGCGAAAUUCCUUGUCGGGUAAGUUCCGACCUGCACGAAUGGCGUAAUGAUGGCCAGGCUGUCUCCACCCGAGACUCAGUGAAAUUGAACUCGCUGUGAAGAUGCAGUGUACCCGCGGCAAGACGGAAAGACCCCGUGAACCUUUACUAUAGCUUGACACUGAACAUUGAGCCUUGAUGUGUAGGAUAGGUGGGAGGCUUUGAAGCGUGGACGCCAGUCUGCGUGGAGCCGACCUUGAAAUACCACCCUUUAAUGUUUGAUGUUCUAACGUGGACCCGUAAUCCGGGUUGCGGACAGUGUCUGGUGGGUAGUUUGACUGGGGCGGUCUCCUCCUAAAGAGUAACGGAGGAGCACGAAGGUUGGCUAAUCCUGGUCGGACAUCAGGAGGUUAGUGCAAUGGCAUAAGCCAGCUUGACUGCGAGCGUGACGGCGCGAGCAGGUGCGAAAGCAGGUCAUAGUGAUCCGGUGGUUCUGAAUGGAAGGGCCAUCGCUCAACGGAUAAAAGGUACUCCGGGGAUAACAGGCUGAUACCGCCCAAGAGUUCAUAUCGACGGCGGUGUUUGGCACCUCGAUGUCGGCUCAUCACAUCCUGGGGCUGAAGUAGGUCCCAAGGGUAUGGCUGUUCGCCAUUUAAAGUGGUACGCGAGCUGGGUUUAGAACGUCGUGAGACAGUUCGGUCCCUAUCUGCCGUGGGCGCUGGAAGAUUGAGGGGGGCUGCUCCUAGUACGAGAGGACCGGAGUGGACGCAUCACUGGUGUUCGGGUUGUCAUGCCAAUGGCACUGCCCGGUAGCUAAAUGCGGAAAAGAUAAGUGCUGAAAGCAUCUAAGCACGAAACUUGCCCCGAGAUGAGUCUUCCCUGAGACUUUGAGUCUCCUGAAGGAACGUUAAAGACGAUGACGUUGAUAGGCCGGGUGUGUAAGCGCAGCGAUGCGUUGAGCUAACCGGUACUAAUGAACCGUGAGGCUUAACCUUACAACGCCGAAG